UAAUUGUUAGUGAUAACAUAUUUGUUUACAUGUUUCCCACAUCUCCAUUUUUUAGAUAAUAUUAAUUAUAUUAAUCAACACGAAACCAGAAAUUAGGAUUCAAUUACAAACCGACUUGAACAAAAUAACUCAAAUCAAACGGUUUUUAACUAGCUUCGCUCGACCCAUGUUCCCGGCGAGUUCUGCUAGCCGUCUCCAAAAUCCUCGAGAAGAAAUGACCGUUCUCAAUCGUUAAUGUUGACCACGAGAAUUAGAUAUUCAUCUUGUGGCCUCGGAUGUCGGGAUCUUCCUGUGACGUUUCUGGAGUAGCUGGCGACCGAUGAUCUUAUCGUCUUGCAAUCUUCACCAUAAUUGAAUUACUCGACAACUGAAAGAGUAACAGUACCGAAACACAUCACCUGAGCAAACCGUCACGAACUCUAGCUGUUCCGUCCCCGCCAAUGACGACCAUAGAACCAAAUGCAGGCUUGAAAACUAUACCAAUUUCUGAGUAGAAGAGUCUUUAAACCUGCACAUGAUUGUCAUCACACUACCAAUGAUAACCAAGCUGGACCCAUCAGAACUGGGACGUGUGAGAGGACCAAAUGGGAACACCAAGCAAUGCUCCCAACAGCCAUCACUUGAAGCAAGUUGAGAACCGAGAAGCGGUUUCUGUGACUACUUAAACCUCUCUGACGUAGGAGAAUAAGGUAGAAGCUGAAGAGCCAGACCACCACAGGAAAGAUGACUGUCGUCAAAUACCAGUGGACUAGAGAGAGACGAAAUAGAAGAGAUCUGCAGCGAUGAAUGUCCACAGAACAACAAUUGGAAGGCCAUACACGACCACCACCAAGCUGCUCAUUUUUUCCCACACGGAACAGAGCUGAGUUACCAUCACCGCCUCCAUAACCAGGCUCACGAGGCACCUUCGAGUCAGAGUAAACCUCCGGAGCUUGCUUGACCUCGAAGACUAGACACCAGAACCUCCAAGACACCGAGGAGAGUCACGAUUUCCACCUCCAAAGCUGGACAACUCCACCACCAGAGAAUGAGAAGAGGAGUGAACCAUCCCUCCACCGCAUCGGGAUUGAAACCAAAAGCAGAUCUGAAUUGGUAAAACGCGAUCUACUUCAAAACCCUAAACGCCGACCACCUACUCCAGGAACCUCAGCAACAAACUUGCCGUGAGACCAGAAAAAGAAGCAGAGUCUCCGGCUGAACUCCUUUUGAGCUGAGCUUUGCCAGAAAUCCAAACCAUUACCCAGUGCCAGAAGCAUAUCGAAAAGAAAAGUGAAAAUGGAGGAGGAGCAAAAGGAAAAGGAGAGAGGGUGAGGAGGAAGCCUCCGGCAGUGGCGGUGUUGUUAACACGUUGGCCAACUGCCGGAGCAAAUCGAGACCACACGCUGGUUAAGAGAAAGAGAGUAAGGAGAAAGAAGGGGUUAGAGAGAAAUUCGAUUUUAAAAAUUUGGACUAUUU
rnacentral:lncRNA from 1 species